rnacentral:antisense_RNA from 1 species
CAGACUCCCAAUGUGGCUGGCAACUGCGGGGGUAGAAGAACUCAGGCAAAGUAGGCACAGGAAUGGGGGAGAUGAGAGCCAGGGACAAAAGCCGAGGAAAGCAUUCCAACAAGCAUGUGUGUUCAUACAUGCAUACCCCCAACAAAGGGCAUUGCACUGUGUAACAGAACUGAACACAAUUUAACAAAGCAGCUCCCAGCCUUCCUGUCACCUCUUUGGCAGUAGGGCAGGCCAUCUCAACUUCGGACACACACAGACAUUCUCUUCAGGAGGAAAGCUGUCCUGUGUGGUGGGGACAAGGCUUCAGUUGCAAGAUGGUUGUCUCUCCUUCUUCCUGAAUAAGACAAUGGACCAGUUAUAAGAUUCCAAGUGAAUUCCUUCAAAGGAAGAGAAGGACAACAUAAGAAGGCGUGGAUGACAGACUUUCAGUUAAACUUACAAAGAAAGAACAGUGCAGCACCAUCUAUACCUACCUUUUUCUCAGAGUUUAUAAAAAAAAUUCAUAUUCCCUACAAAGCAAAACUAUGGUAUAACAGGACAACUAAGACUGCCCUGGUGCUCUGCUUCUAGUCGGCCGAGAAGCCUGCAGCAAAUCACUUAAACACUUAAGCUCUUUGUGUGCCAUCCACACCCAAUUGGAACUAGAGACUUUCAUUAGCCCCUUUCUGUCUCAGAGCUUUCAGUGGUUCUACAAGUCACCAGCCUGGAUCUCUAACAAUGUGUCUCUCCAAAGCUGUUAAUACAUUCACAUCCAAAAUAUCUCCAGCCACGAAAUCCCAGUUUAGAGGUUGCCCGUCCUUGUUGAAGAAACAUUUCUACACAAAUACCUGUUGCCUAUACCAGAUGGCCGUACCAAUACCCAAAUACUGACAAACGUUUAAAAGAAUUUACUGUACUCCCUUCACUUUAGAAAUGUUAACAGUUCAAGUCCAACAGAACUUAAAGGAAAAAAAGGGAAAUGUUAACAGUUAAGUAAGGCAUUUAUUUAACAUAAUCUCAACUAAAGUCCAACUAAAGAGCUUCCCCAGGCAAACACUCCUUUUGCACUUCAUUUUGAAGACACAACAAUGCACAAGUUAAAAUCCUAAUAUUACCAUUUUAUUAAAAAUAACUUUUAAGAUCCAAUCUGUGGCCAAUAUUCGAUCUGGAUGCAAAACCCUGGCUUCCAGACAGGCCAGCCGGGGGCACUGCUCUGAAGUCAUUACUUAAGUAUCCCAGUCUCCUCAGUCUGACAGACCUACCCCUGCCCAGCCAAUCUCCACAUAACAGCUAGUUGUUCAUAACAAUAAAUCCCAUCAGAUCCCUGCUUAACUACUCCCCUUCAAAGGCCCCACUGCCCUCAGGAAAUAGUUCAACCACCUUCUGUGGAAAGGCCUUCUAAAACCUCUCUCCGAGUCUGUCUGCUAAUCUCUCCCACUUGACACUCCCCAGGUCUCCGGCCAACUGAACUUCCUGGGCAUUUCCUGAACAAUGCCCCUCAAUAAACCACAUGCAGCUCUC